rnacentral:rRNA from 1 species
CCUACGGGAGGCAGCAGUGGGGAAUUUUCCGCAAUGGGCGGAAGCCUGACGGAGCAAAGCCGCGUGAAGGCAGAAGGCCCACGGGUCAUGAACUUCUUUUCUCGGAGAAGAAAAAAUGACGGUAUCUGAGGAAUAAGCAUCGGCUAACUCUGUGCCAGCAGCCGCGGUAAU